rnacentral:rRNA from 1 species
AUACGGAGGGUGCAAGCGUUACUCGGAAUCACUGGGCGUAAAGCGCAUGCAGGCGGUCAGAUAAGUUAGAAGUGAAAUCCUAUAGCUCAGCUAUAGAACUGCUUCUAAAACUGUUUGACUAGAGUCUGGGAGGGGAAGAUGGAAUUAGUAGUGUAGGGGUAAAAUCCGUAGAGAUUACUAGGAAUACCAAAAGCGAAGGCGAUCUUCUGGAACAGUACUGACGCUGAGAUGCGAAAGCGUGGGGAGCAAACAGGAUUAGAAACCCUAGUAGUCC